UGCAGCAGGGUGAGCCGCAGCUCCGCCGCCGCGCACAGCCCCGCCGCCGCGCACAGCCACAGCACGCCCGCCCGCCCUGCCAUAGCGCGGGAGCUCCGCGCUGCUCCGCGGGACCGCUCGGAAGCGCGACCAGGAGAGGCUGAACAAGACCCACUUCCUCCUUGGGUUCACCCCCACCAUGCUGGCAUUGGGCUCCUAGGUUUGCCGUGGAAAACAAAAUGAUCCCCCAGGCUGUUCCUUCCCUCCGUAAAUCCUUUGGACAUCAUUCUCAUUUCUAUCCUGGUGGAGUGCGGAUCCUCAUCCCUUCUCUCUCCUUCCUGUGUCUUACAAACAUAUUCUCCAGACUCCCCACAGGAGGCACACAUCUUUCAUGAAGUGCUGUGCCACCAUCUGGUGAUGAGACAUGGACUGGAAGAAUGAAUGCUUUUUGACAGUGCCCUCAUCACUGCUUUUUAAAAGAACUGCCAUUUCUCCUGGACUCCUCCCCGGCCCCCCGCCCCCUUUUCCUUUUCCCUUCUAACCUAUUAAAAUGGCAUUUAUUGAUGGCUGUUUUCUUUAAGUCUAUCAUUAUUUUUGCUCUUUGCCUCUUCCUCUUCUAAAGAAUCCACAGUCACAAUUACACUCCUGCAUUCCUUACCCUGUCCCUCCCUACUCCUUGGAGUGGAGUCCAGACAAGUCCUCUCCUUUUCACCCCAGGUUGAACACAUUCCAACAAGUUGCCAGGAAGGAGUCAGCUCACAUGUUGUAGACAUCUAGAUGUUAAGUACACAGGCCAGAUAUCCAGGCUGUCUCUCCAGUCAGUGGAUACACAGGGGCACAUCCAGGAGUGACAGAGUCCAUUUUAUAAUAUCAAUCUAGGAUUAAUAACUCUUGUCCAGUAUUUAUCUCUUCGUUGACUAUAAAAGUAUUUGAGUAUUUGGCCAAUUUGGAUGAGACAGGAUUUGCAGUUGGGAAAUUGUAAUAUUAACAGAUUUUACUGAACACCGAAUUAAACUCUUGAGGUCAUUUUGAUUACGAUCAUCACAAGCUUUGCCAUGUAGAUUUCCCAAUGUUAUAUUAUGCUGUGCUGUAAUCCAAGUCAGUCCCAGUAGUCCUCUACCCCUUUUAACAUUGUCCAAAGACCUUAAAGUGCAGGUCUUUCUCUUUUUGGACGUCAGAGAAAGUAUAUAUGUGUUUAAUAUGUAAGACUUUUCCUGUCCCUCCUACUUGAAUGAGCUGUAACCUCCUGUAAAUACGCCAGUUCUAUAUAUUGUCCAGUGAAUCUGGCUGUGCCAGUGGAGUAAUAAUUUUGAUCUUAGGUUCUGGUUCAAUACUCUUUUUCCUCUCACUUCAUUCAUGGAAAUGAUAUGGUUCUUUUCCCACUGUCCUCCUUUGGCCUUCUAUAAUCUUAGUGUAACUUUAUCUUUUAUGAUUUUAAGUCCCACUUGCAGGCUGCCCUCAUUUAAGAAUUUCAAAUUCUAAUGUCCACUGGUUCUGAUUUAAAAUUGUGCUCAUUACGCUAGCAAGCCAGUAUGCAAAGGUAUCCUUCUUAGUUACUAGGAAGCUUAGGAUGUGAGGGAGGAUAUUAGGAUGGUGGGCCACUAGGGAGAAAGCAUGCAGAAAAGGACAAAACACAAGCCUAAACCUGUUUGGCUUUGAAAGUAUUUCUCACCAGAAAUUUGAAGGACAAAAUUAAAAAUAGAGUUUCUGUCCAAAAUUUUGCAGUCCUAGUAAACCUCUUCACUGAGGUAAAAUAAAACGGUAGUUUUAAAAAACAAUAGUAAUCUCAUAGGAAAACAAACAAGCAAAGCAAAACAAACAAAAAACCCCCCCAACCAAACAAAACCCUCCUAAAACAGAAACCCACCAAACACACAAACAAACAAAACCUGCACAAACCAAAAGCAAGUUAGUUUUAUUUUAGCAAAACUAUUUUUUUGUGUGUUUUGCUCCCGGUCUCUUUCACAGAUGCUUAGGGAAUUCUACAGUGUAGUAGUGAGGAACUUGAAAGUGUAUAUGAAAUAUAAAAGAAGAGAGUAGUAGUUUCUCACUGAAAAUUUAGUACUGUGAAGUAGUUUGAAGCAGGGUUUUUCUUCAUUCUAAAAUUAGUUUGAGUCCGAGAGAUUUUAGAAGAACAAACCUACAUGCUUGGCAGUGAUGUAGGUGAUUUCCAGCCCACUCCAGUGUGAAAUGUUGUGUUCUAGGCAGGCAAUGAAAUUCUCUAAUGCUCUCAUUUUUUCCACUGGCCUCAGAAAAAUGGCAAACCUGGUUGUGAUUGUACUUCAUUAAAUAAAAUAGCUGUUAAGCAGUGUUUCAAUGUAUUUCAGUUAAUAUCCAGUUACUGUAGACCAGGCCCCACCUAAUGCAUCCCAUCAGACUUAAACAGUUUAACAGGUUUAAUGUUCUGCAUCAGUUUCAGAAUUUUAGGUGAUUGUUCAAGUACCGGAUUUGCAAAUAUGAUACUGGACUACAUUGGCCCCUUCUUGUGAGGAGGCAAAGCUGUUUGCAGUC